rnacentral:misc_RNA from 1 species
UGGUUCUGGCAUCGAUGAAGAACGCAGCGAAAUGCGAUAAGUAAUGUGAAUUGCAGAAUUCAGUGAAUCAUCGAAUCUUUGAACGCACAUUGCGCCCCUUGGCAUUCCGAGGGGCAUGCCUGUUCGAGCGUCAUUUCACCCAUCAAGCCCUGCUUGGUCUUGGGCGUAUGGGCCACCUGCUGCAGGUGGCCAGCCCGAAAUGCAUUGGCGAGGCACCGGUCCCCCAGCGUAGUAGAGUUUUGAAACGCCGGGAGGGUGGCAGCCGCUGCCGUUAAACCUUUCUCCAUCUCCAGGUUGACCUCGGAUCAGGUAGGGAUACCCGCUGA